AGGGAUGUAGCGCAGUCUGGUAGCGCAUUUGUUUUGGGUACAAAAAGUCGCGGGUUCGAAUCCUGUCAUCCCUA
rnacentral:tRNA from 2 species